AUGCCCCGUCUACGCCAAAGUGAGAGAGAACGAGCUAUUGGGAUGUUGGCAGCAGGGAUGACUCAAGUGCAGGUUGCAAAUCAUUUUAAUGUCUCUAGAAUGACUGUUGCAAGGCUUAAGACUCGUCUUAGAGAUACUGGCACAACAAAUGAUCGCCCCCGUAGUGGCAGGCCACGUGAAACGAUGUUACGUCAAGACAGGCACAUCCGCAUCAUUCCUCUCAGGAAUCGAUUUGUAAACGCGUCAAAAACUUCACGUCAAACCUACGGAAGACAUAACAACAGAAUAUCUGCUCAAACAGUUCGUAACCGAUUACGUCAAGUUGGUCUAAGAGCUCGUCGUCCAUUGAAGGGAUCUAUCCUUACGCAGCGUCUCGGAUGGCGCGACUUCAAUGGACUCGGGUACGAAUUCGAUGGAACAGGCAAACAUGGAGACAGGUUCUUUUUACCGAUGGAUCUAAAUUCAACUUGCAAUUUAGCGACGGCAGAGCCAGGGUCUAAUGGAGGCGCAAUGAACGAUUUUCUGAUGCGUGCGUGCAGGAAACACCUCAGUUUGGUGUUGACGGAAUCAUGGUAUGGGGCGGAAUAUCCUACUAGGAACGCACCGAGCUCAAAAUCAUCAUUGGUUAUAUAUUGGUGA
rnacentral:sRNA from 1 species